rnacentral:rRNA from 1 species
AUGAACGCUGGCGGCGUGCCUAAUACAUGCAAGUCGAGCGAACGGACGAGAAGCUUGCUUCUCUGAUGUUAGCGGCGGACGGGUGAGUAACACGUGGAUAACCUACCUAUAAGACUGGGAUAACUUCGGGAAACCGGAGCUAAUACCGGAUAAUAUUUUGAACCGCAUGGUUCAAAAGUGAAAGACGGUCUUGCUGUCACUUAUAGAUGGAUCCGCGCUGCAUUAGCUAGUUGGUAAGGUAACGGCUUACCAAGGCAACGAUGCAUAGCCGACCUGAGAGGGUGAUCGGCCACACUGGAACUGAGACACGGUCCAGACUCCUACGGGAGGCAGCAGUAGGGAAUCUUCCGCAAUGGGCGAAAGCCUGACGGAGCAACGCCGCGUGAGUGAUGAAGGUCUUCGGAUCGUAAAACUCUGUUAUUAGGGAAGAACAUAUGUGUAAGUAACUGUGCGCAUCUUGACGGUACCUAAUCAGAAAGCCACGGCUAACUACGUG